rnacentral:rRNA from 1 species
AUACGGAGGGUGCAAACGUUGUUCGGAAUCACUGGGCGUAAAGGGCGCGUAGGCGGUGACUUAAGCGUGUGGUGAAAGCCCGGGGCUCAACCCCGGGUCGGCCGUGCGAACUGGGUCACUCGAGCACUGUAGAGGCAGGUGGAAUUCCGGGUGUAGCGGUGGAAUGCGUAGAGAUCCGGAAGAACACCAGUGGCGAAGGCGGCCUGCUGGGCAGUAGCUGACGCUGAGGCGCGAAAGCGUGGGGAGCAAACAGGAUUAGAAACCCUAGUAGUCC